GGAAAAGAGGCCUGGAAAAGCACCACUCCUGUUCCCCAGAUGGAACCAGAUCCUGUUAAGAAACCCCAUUUGUGCCUUUGGAGAGACUGCCCUGAGCACACAGGCCCAGCAACCACCAUCUAUGACCCCCAGGACCUAAUCCUCUUCUACAUAGGGUUCAGUGCAU
rnacentral:lncRNA from 1 species